GAUCUUUGAUCUCCCUCACCGGCCCACGGAGGGAGGUACAUAGCGCGUGCCGCAGGGAUUAGGGUGUGCCCAGGCACACCCGGCACACCCCGUGCGCAUGCUUAUGCAGAUCGACACACACAUGGUUACAGGCAACAUCAAACAGUCACAGGCAGACAUUAACACAUACAUAGUCACAUGCAGUCACACACACAUUUAUAGGCAGACAGUUACACACACAGUCAGUUACAGGUAGUCACACACAGUCAUAGCCAGACAGUCACGCAC